GAUGAACGCUGACAGAAUGCUUAACACAUGCAAGUCUACUUGAAUUUGGGUUUUUUAACUUAGAUUUGGGUGGCGGACGGGUGAGUAACGCGUAAAGAACUUGCCUCACAGUUAGGGACAACAUUUGGAAACGAAUGCUAAUACCUGAUAUUAUGAAUAUAUGGCAUCAUAUAAUUAUGAAAGCUAUAAGCGCUGUGAGAGAGCUUUGCGUCCCAUUAGCUAGUUGGAGAGGUAACGGCUCACCAAGGCGAUGAUGGGUAGCCGGCCUGAGAGGGUGAACGGCCACAAGGGGACUGAGACACGGCCCUUACUCAUACGGGAGGCAGCAGUGGGGAAUAUUGGACAAUGGACCAAGAGUCUGAUCCAGCAAUUCUGUGUGCACGAUGACGUUUUUCGGAAUGUAAAGUGCUUUCAGUUGGGAAGAAAAAAAUGACGGUACCAACAGAAGAAGUGACGGCUAAAUACGUG
rnacentral:rRNA from 1 species